AAAAGUAUUUUAAAUGCCAAAAGGCUUAAUAAAGGAAGAUGGGUGAGAAUCCCGCACAGCCCCAAGCUACUGUAUUGUGGACGAAACUAUAGAACCACUGGAUUAAAAAUCUGGGAAGGAUUAGGAGUAGGAUGAAACUAAGUCAGGAGACUUA
rnacentral:ncRNA from 1 species